AUCGGGCCAAAAGAUCUCUUAUCCUCUCUCUCUUUCUCUCUCUCAUAUCGUAGCUGAAGUCUGCCGAUGCCGCCCUCCAGCGUCUCCCUCCUCUGAUUUGUUAAUGAGAUUCCAGUACCGAUCCCUGAUCUCCAGAGUCACCGGCGACCGUAGAGUCGUGAUGUUGUGCUAGUCGUCCAAAACGUCAAAAGAUGCGUGGAGCUGGAGAAACAGACCGACAGGCACAUCGAUCGGUGACGCUUCUCCUUCAGAUUGUUCCCCGUCAGCGAUAGCCUUAUUUGGUUUCUCCUCCAGCUCUGGUUGUCCUCAUCUUCCUCUGGUACGUCGUCCAAAAUAUGCCGACUCGUGGUCGCGAGCAAGAAGCUUGUUGCUGUAGUUAUCAAGGAGAGAAAAGGAGGCAAAUAUUAUGCCAGAGAAAGAUUUUGAUAUUACAUGAAGGCUGCAUCAUUAGAAGGGCAGGAGGCUAAUGUAGUUACAGAUUACAUACUCAAGGUUGGUUCAUUAUUAUUCUGUAUGGUUCUAUAUGAUCCUAUAUAUGUGAUAGAAUAGGAGGGUGAAGUAUGAAUCAUCACUCAGUUUUCUUUUUAUUUCUAAUUACGGGCUCAUGUUUUGCUUUUUUUAAUUGAGAGAUUGAAGUGCCAAAUAGAACUUCAAUUUAUGUGUUACUUCUCUUUCUCUGCUAUGUCGCCAAUGAUUUGGUUUUUUUAAGUUUCAUUUUUAUUGAUUUCAAGUGUGUAGUUCUCUGUAACUGUUAUAUUUAUUUUUCAACACAGGGAUAGUAGCUCUCCACGUAUGUUAGUAUCUUUUCAAGGUGAUGUCAGUAGUUUUUCGGUUUUCAUUUUCAUUGAUUUCAAGUUAGUAGCUCUCUAUAACAUAUAUAGUGGUUUUUCAACACAGUGAUAGUAGCUUUCUAUCUCUAUGUUAGUAUCUUAUCAAGCUGAUGUUAGUAGCUUUUUUGUUUUCGUUUUGAUUGAUUUUAAAUCAGUAACUCUAUAAGUAUUACAAUGGUUUUUCAACACAGUGAUAGUAGCUUUCUCUCUCUAUGUUAGUAUCUUUUCAAUCUGAUGACAGUAGUUUUUUUGUUUUCAUUUUGAUUGAUUUCAAAUGGUAUUUUGUCAAUAGCUUAUCAAACUAGAAAAGCAUGAUUUUGAAUGAAAUUCAAUUUUCUUCUUCUUGUGAUUUUGUAUCUCUAACAUUUCUUGUUUGGAAUUUGUGUUACAUUAUCAACAUUUAUAAUCAGCUGGUUUUUUGCAAUCAGUAUUUUUGUUAGUAGCUUUUUAUUACUGGUUGAGUAGCUUUAUAUAUGUUAUAGUACUUUUUUGUAUCUAUGUCAGUAACUUUUUAUUACUAGUCUAGUAGCUUUGUACGUGUUUUAUAAUAGCUUUCUGUACCUAUAUCAGUAGCUUUUUAUUACUGGUUCAGUAACUUUGUACGUGUGUUAUAGUACUUUUUUUACCUAGCUAGGUCAUUAGCUUUUUAGAUUGCUUAUUUUUAUUAUCUAGAUAAAGAGUGUCACGUUUGCGGCGCAACAGUACGUUGCUGUUUUUAGUUUUCAUAUCAGAUACUAAUAUUUUGUUGGGUUAAAUACUGUUUACUCCCUGAACUUUCAGAGAAAAAACAGUUCAGUCCCUCCCUUUUUAAUUUCACACGUUUACUCCCUGUACUCCAAAAUUUCGGACCAAUAGGUCAUUGCCGUUACCCUCCGUCCAAAAAUCUCGUCAAAGUGCUGACGUGACAGUUUUUCGGAUAAAACAUUUAUUAUACCCUUAGUUCAUCUUUUUUUUUUUUAUUAAUUAAUUCUUUUCUCUCUUUUUUUGUUUUUGCUUUUUUCCAUUUAUUAUUAUUAUUUUAAGAGUCGACAUCGGAGCUUAAAGCUUUCUGAUUUUACCCUCUUCCUUCUCUUCUUCCUCUCUCUCUUCCUCCAUCACUUGUCACCAUGCUGCUGCGCCAGAAUCUCUUCCUCCCUCUUCCUUCUCUCUUCCUCCUUCUCUCCUCAGUCAUCGACGCCUUAAAGCCGAGACCCCUCACCUACCUAGCGACCCAGAGCCACCAAACCAACCCGACCCGCCAACUUCAACACCUUCGUUUUUCACAUCGAUUCCCGCAGCUCCGACGCUGCCUCCGAUUCCGACGGUGACGAAGGCGGAGCGGCGACGAAAUCAUUUCUCUUCCUACAGAGGUAUGCCAAGGUCGGCGACGGAAUUUAAGGUGAGCUUCUGGGUUUGAAUCGAGAGAUGAGUUUGAUUGUUUGAGGCUCAUCUGACUCAACCCCACCAAAUUGACUGAUCCCAAUUCACAGCCUCAUCCCUGAAAUGAAUUGGGCUUCGCUGCAUUGGGUUAAUUUUGAGGGAAAAUUGAGGUUUAGGAAUUGGAAUUUCUUAGUCGUGUUGGGUUGGAAGAAGGAGAAAGGAAGCUGCUGUUGAUUUUUCUUAGUCGUGUUGGCUUGAGGCUGGUGCCGUAGUCCUUGACCUUGCCUGUGAAGGAGAGGACAGGUUUGGAUUUAGGGGCUAAUCCAAUUCGGUUUUGGAUUUUGGGAAAUUGUUUGUGAUUUUGUGGAAAUUGUUUGUGAUUACGAGAGUUUAUAUAUGGGUUUUGGUAGAAAGAGAGAAAGGAAGUGUGGGUGAUAGUGGCAGUGCAACGUGGGUAGUGAUGGUGGUGGUGACCGUGGAGGUGGCGGUGGCAGUGGCACGAGGAUGGAGGGGAGAACAGAUAAACAGAAGAAAAAAAAUCAAAAAAAUAAAAUAAAAGAGAGAAUAAAUUAAAAAAAAAAAAGAUGAACUAAGGGUAUAAUAGACAUUUUA